rnacentral:lncRNA from 1 species
ACACCUGAUGCUAAUCCUAAUUCACCACACUAUCGGGAACUCAUGAAUCCUACAAAAAAUCAUCAAAUUACGCCAAUUAACCAUCAAGAUUCUAGUUCCUAAAGCAACUUUCGAUUACUUACUACUCAAAAAACUGCGUCCAAAAUGAGAAUUACUCCGCUAGUAGGAUUUGAUUCUUACACCCUUCGCCUAAAAAAAAUCACGAAAACACUCAACACAACGUGAAAAGAAAACUAAACACCAACAACUCCAAUCUUGUUCAAGAAAAAAUUCAAGCUAAAAUAACAAAAAAACACUUAACAAGCUUACACCAUGCUUUGAACCACGAGCAAAGGACGAAACUCUCACACGAAC